rnacentral:lncRNA from 1 species
CUUAGAGGGAGGUGUAUGCAGCUUCAGCUGCAGAUUAAUGAGCUAUUUGACUGGGACAUGACGUUGGUUUAACAGCAUUUUUUCUCAAAUGUGGUGUGAUCAGGAAUUUGCAGAAGUUUAUUCUUAGCUCUUUCUUUUGGCUUCUGCAACAUGUUAACAGCUUGUGCAUUUUGUAAUGCCUUUUUUCAUUACCAUGGUAACCAUUAAAACUUAAGGUAUAUGUGACUGAAGAUCUGGCCAAGCUAUUGGUUAGUGGCAUGCUGGAAGGCAGUGAAAUAAAAACCACAUCUAGUCGGCAGCUUUUUACAGGUACCCCCUUCUAGCACCACUCAUUUUGGAAGACUUUGUUCAUAUAAGCAA